GAUGAAGAACGUAGCGAAAUGCGAUAAGUAAUGUGAAUUGCAGAAUUCAGUGAAUCAUCGAAUCUUUGAACGCACAUUGCGACCUUUGGUAUUCCGAAGGGCAUGCCUGUUCGAGCGUCAUUAUAACCACUCAAGCUCUCGCUUGGUAUUGGGGUUCGCGGUCUCGCGGCCCCUAAAAUCAGUGGCGGUGCCUGUCGGCUCUACGCGUAGUAAUACUCCUCGCGAUUGAGUCCGGUAGGUGACUUGCCAGCAACCCCCAAAUUUUUCAGGUUGACCUCGGAUCAGGUAGGGAUACCCGCUGAACUUAAGCAUAUCAAUAAGCGGAGGA
rnacentral:misc_RNA from 1 species